rnacentral:misc_RNA from 1 species
UGUUUAUAUGGCCCUUGCUUUUGGAAGCUCAUGGUUUAUCUUUAUUAGGGCAGUCCUGGUUGCUACAUUUGGUCUAGAGGCUGCGCAAAAAUUAUUUUUGAAAAUGCUGAGAACAAUCUUUAGGGCUCCAAUGUCUUUCUUCGACUCCACACCAGCAGGGAGGAUAUUGAAUCGCGUGUCAAUUGAUCAAAGUGUGGUUGAUCUUGAUAUUCCUUUCAGACUUGGCGGCUUUGCUUCAACUACAAUUCAGCUUAUUGGUAUUGUUGGUGUCAUGACAACAGUUACCUGGCAAGUGUUACUACUUGUCAUCCCAAUGGCGAUUGCUUGCCUAUGGAUGCAGAAAUACUAUAUGGCUUCAUCAAGGGAACUAGUUCG